GAUAAAGUAACAGAAGUGAAAUUGAAGGCGCAAAGAAGAGUACUGAAGGAAUAGGUUACCCAUAGCCACCGCACCGGAAUCAAUCGGUAAAUAUCUCUCCCUCCGACUUCUUCGAUUUACGCGCGAGAAAGAACCUCCAUUGGUUAUGAUGUCGAUGUUGAUUCACGGUGUCUUGUUCUUGCCAUCGAUUGUUUACUUGAAUUUCGAAAGGAGGUAUUUUGAAUUGAACAUUUGAAAGUUUUCUCAGUAUGCCGCGUUGAUUGGCGACGGUGCGUUGGGUUUGAGGAUACACUGAUUUCUUUAGCAGGUUCUUGGGUUGCAUAUGUUUGAACCCGGGUGCAAGACUUGGAAUUUGGGCCUUUUGGCCCAAGAAAACUUCUCUUUGCUUUUCCACCCCUUCAAUCUGUUUUCACACCCCCAUGGCCCAUCUUUAAUUUAUUUCCUAAUCUUUUGUUAAUCCUUUGAUUAAUUCUUAAUCUGUUUUAAUUCCAAUUUUUUGUAUUAAUCUUUCUAAUUAGAUUAGUUUAAUCUUGUAAUUUCUUGAUCUUUAGAGUUUAGAUAUUAGGAUUAGUUCAUUAAUUGUUAGAUUAGAUAAUAUGGUUAGUUGUAGACUUUUACCAUGUUAGAUUAUAUUGAAUUCUCCUUAAUUUUCCUAAAUUUACUUGAUUUGAUUAACCAUGCCAUGAGUAGAAUUUAGUCAUUAGGGCUUGAUAUUCCUUUUUGUGGAUUUUGUUUUGAGAUUAAGAUGGUUAAAUAUUGAUUUUACUAUGAUUUUCCCAUUAGGUUAAUUUGCAUUCAAUUGGACUAUUGUGUAAUUCAUUUGUAUGAUCAUAUUCAUUAGAAUUCAAUUCUUGAUUCGGAUUAUUAAUUUACCAUUUUGGUUAAUUUUUAUCCUAUUCUUGUUUAGGUAUAUUUAGAAUUAAUAGUCACUUUAAUUGUCCAUUUAAUCGAUUCCUUUAGUUUGUCAUCAUAUUGUAAAUUGAAAAUCUCAUUUCAAUUUAGGUGAUGGAUGUCUUGUAUGUCUAUUUUCAUUUGUCAUGAUCACAUGAUAGAUCUUUGAUCGGUUUUCAUUGAUUAAUCCAUUCCCUUUUGAAUUGAUUUUAACCAUUGAAUGUGCUUACAUAUUUUUGCAUCAUUCUCAUUCAUUUGACUUGAUCUCAUGCUAACCCGUUUGUUGUUUUGUGUCCACAUGUGACUUUAAGAUUCAAGCUCACUCCUAGCUAGUCAUGCUCCUAACCAUUUCAGUCUCAUUCAAUAGCCUUGUAUUGUUUGAAGUACUGAUCGGUCUCCAAUUCUACUUGUUUUCUGACACUUAUUCGACACCUUUUCACGAAAUCGAUAACACAUUAGUCUACUUAUUUUAUUAUUCUAUUUAGUAAAUUAGAUGUUUUGCAUUGUUGUUUCCAGUUGUUGAUUACAUUUGGUUUGCAUCAUUAUACUCCAUUUUAUGUCUCUUUGUGGUAGUUCUAUUGGUUUCAGGUGUAAGUAAGAGUACCAGAGGGAUUGACAAGCGAAUCGGACGUUCCGGGUCCGUCGGAGGAGGAAAUUGGGCAACACAAUAGUCCUGACACGACCACCUGUGUUGCCCAACACGGGCCGUGUCAGGAGAGGACAACUAGAAGAAGAAAACAGGGAGCUGACACAGCUUGUGUCAAUCUCCCUAGAGGGGCGUGUCAAGGCUUCUUCAUCAGACAGCCAACACGGCAUGUCGUGUUGCCUGACACGGCCAGUGUUGGCUUGUACACCUCAUUUUCCAAUUUUUGUUGUAUUUUGGUAUUGCUGAUCCCGAAGGACAUUUUGGACUUUUUCUACAUCAAAUUAGUCAUCAGGAACUAUUUAGGGGAUUUUUGAAUAUGGAGAAGGAACUUUUCAUGAUCACAAAUUGGAGACGAUAAAGAUUGAAGCGGUCAAAAGCGGCGAAGAACGGAGAUCCUUCAAGAGCGGAUGCAAUUGAAGAUCAAUGGAAUUCCCAUUCUUUUGUAAUGUCUCGUUUUCAUUUUGUAUCUUAUUUGAAUAAUAUGAGAGGC
rnacentral:lncRNA from 1 species